rnacentral:rRNA from 1 species
UACGGAGGGUGCGAGCGUUAAUCGGAAUUACUGGGCGUAAAGAGUGCGUAGGCGGCUCGUUAAGUCAGAUGUGAAAGCCCUGGGCUCAACCUGGGAACUGCAUUUGAAACUGGCGAGCUAGAGUUGAGUAGAGGUAAGUGGAAUUUCAGGUGUAGCGGUGAAAUGCGUAGAUAUCUGAAGGAACACCAGUGGCGAAGGCGACUUACUGGACUCAAACUGACGCUGAGGUACGAAAGCGUGGGUAGCAAACAGGAUUAGAUACCCUGGUAGUCCACGCCGUAAACGAUGUCAACUAGCCGUUGGUCCUAUAUACAGGAUUAGUGGCGCAGCUAACGCAUUAAGUUGACCGCCUGGGGAGUACGGCCGCAAGGUUA